GCGGUGCAACAGCAUGAGGGUAGUAGACGAGCAACAACCACAGCGCAUGCGCUAAGCCAUAGCCAGCCAGGUACCGAGAGACCCGCAUGGAGCAUGCGCCUGGUGAAGGCGCCGCUAAGCCCCUCUGUCGCCGGCAGCCAACGGCGCAUGCGCGGGAGAGUUGGUGUCUUGGCCACGCGAGAGAGAGGGAUCCCCCCUGCGGCUGGCGCAUGCAGCAUGGUACCGGAUGUAAGAUGAAGUUAUGUUUAUGAUGGAUCAUGAAGCUCCUACAAUUAGACCUAGAAGAAUUCAGAACCAGAAUAUAAUCCACCGCCUUGAGUGUCGGAAAAUCAGUUCUGGAAAGCCCGGCUCCCACUGGCACCAGGUUCGCAUCUUCCACCAGAAUAUCUUUCCGAAUUACACCGUGGUCAAUGUGGAGAAGCCACCUUGUUUCCUUCGCAAGUUCUCACCUGAUGGUAGAUAUUUUAUUGCAUUUUCCUCAGACCAGACCUCCUUAGAAAUCUAUGAGUAUCAAGGCUGCCAGGCAGCGGAAGAUCUCUUGAAUGGGUAUGAAGGGGAAAUACUGGCAAACUCUAAUGACCAGAGGUCUGUAAAUAUUCGAGGGCGUUUGUUUGAACGCUUCUUUGUUCUCCUCCAUAUCACUAAUGUAGCUUCCAAUGGGGAGCACCUUAACCGUGAGUGUAGCCUCUUUACAGAUGACUGCCGCUAUGUCAUUGUGGGGUCAGCAGCCUAUCUUCCCGAGGAACCAUAUCCACCUUUUUAUGAAAUCUACCGUAACAGUGAGUCAGUGACGCCCAAUCCAAGGUCUCCAUUAGAAGACUACUCCCUUCAUAUAAUAGACCUUCACACAGGCAAGCUGUGUGACUCGAGGACCUUCAAAUGUGAUAAAAUAAUUCUCUCUCACAAUCAAGGCCUUUACUUGUACAAAAACAUUUUGGCAAUUCUAUCGGUGCAGCAGCAAACAAUUCACGUAUUUCAAGUGACAGCAGAGGGCGCGUUCAUUGAUGUCCGGACAAUAGGACGUUUCUGCUAUGAGGAUGACCUUCUAAUAUUGUCAGCUGUUUACCCUGAAGUGCAACGUGAAACUCAAACUGGAAUGGCAAAUUUAUACAAAGAGCCGUUUAUUAAUUCAUUAAAGCACAGAUUACUGGUAUAUUUAUGGAGGAGAGCAGAACGAGAUGGCAGUGCCAUGGCCAAAAGACGAUUUUUUCAGUAUUUUGACCAGCUGAGGCAGCUCCGCAUGUGGAAGAUGCAGCUACUAGAUGAAAGCCACCUGUUCAUUAAGUACACCAGCGAGGACGUUGUUACACUACGAGUCAACGACCCAUCACAGAUCAGUGGUUCCCAAACUGUGUGCCUGGGUACACUGGGGUACCGAGAGCCUCUUGCAGAGAUUCUUCAGCCUUCCUUUUUUGUGGUGUACAAUAUGGUCACCACGGAAGUUAUUGCAGUCUUUGAAAACACGUCCAAUGAGCUGUUAGAACUGUUUGAAAACUUCUGUGACCUGUUCAGGAACGCAACUCUUCACAGUGAGGCCGUGCAGUUCCCCUGCUCUGCCUCCAGCAACAACUUUGCUAGACAGAUUCAGCGGCGGUUUAAAGACACCAUUGUAAAUGCAAAGUACGGAGGCCAUACAGAAGCGGUGAGGAGGCUUCUGAGUCAGCUGCCCAUCAGCGCCCAGUCCUACAGUGGAAGCCCUUACCUUGACCUGUCUCUCUUCAGCUAUGAUGAUAAGUGGGUAUCUGUUAUGGAGAGGCCUAAAACAUGCGGUGAUCACCCAAUCAGGUGAUGACUACAGGUAUCCGAGUCCCCACUGUAAAAAACAAAAAUGCUACAUGAGCCGUUGAAUAAAUCAAGAUGCUGCUGUUUAUAGUCAUAUUAAGCCAAUUUAGUUAACAAAGACAACUAGAUCCCAACAGAAAUGGAGAAAGCAAUAAGGAAAAAGUGAAAAUUUCAGGAACAAGCAUGAUUUAUAGGCAGUGAUUAUUAUUACAUUAGGAAAAUGUUAAUUUAUGGUGAUAGAAUUGUAUAGGCAGUUAAUGACCAGCCGAUCCAGCUAAACUGGCCAGUUACUUAUCUGUCUCAAGAACAUAUCGGUCAUGUUUGCGCUAAUUGGUUUCUAAUAUCCAUUUGUCCUUUACCGUGUGAGUUUUGUUUACCAUUUUAAACUUUGCUACUUCGUCAAGAAGCUUGUUCCAGGCUUCCACUAACCUUUCAGCAAUUUAAAGAUUACGUAUUAUCAUCUCUGUUAGACAAAGCAUCAGACAUAUAUUUGCCAGCUCUCCUACUCUCGGAGUAGUCCGCUGAAGGCUUCCCCUUCUCUUAUUCUGCUGUGAGACACUGAAUUUUCCCAUUGCACUGUAAGGGCCUGCAGUCUCAGAGCAGAAUGGAGACUUGCAUGGGUAAGUGUCCAUGCUUUAGACUAUUCAUGCUCACUUAGUUAUAUCAUGUCAUUUCUGGUUACUUUUGGAUUUAUAAUGUAGUAAGUGUCCAACUAUUUUUUAACAGUGUAAGUCCUCGUAGCUCAAUGAACAGUGUUAAACAUCAAACCAUUGGUAUGAUUUACUUGCAAUAACUAAGCCUUCUGUGUGGCUUGCUGUUGAAUCAUGACUGGCACUGGCCAUUAUAUAUUUUUUUAAACAAAACUGUUUAACUCCGUCAUUUGCAGAAAAGUAGAUGUGGAUGUAUAAUGGUCGCACUUGCCGUUUGCUCCAUCUUAUUGAGGUUCAGGACACCUGGUACAGCUGUAGGUUCUAUGCAAGAGAUUCUGGACUUCUAAAGUUUAAAAUCCAGGCUGGUCUUCUUGGGCGGCCCAUCAAUCACACAGUGCGCAG